UACGGGGGGAGCAAGCGUUGUUCGGAUUUACUGGGCGUAAAGGGCGCGUAGGCGGUCAGCACAAGUCAGCGGUGAAAUCUCCGGGCUUAACUCGGAAAGGUCAGCCGAUACUGCGGGGCUAGAGUGCAGAAGGGGCAACUGGAAUUCUCGGUGUAGCGGUGAAAUGCGUAGAUAUCGAGAGGAACACCUGCGGCGAAGGCGGGUUGCUGGGCUGACACUGACGCUGAUGCGCGAAAGCUAGGGGAGCGAACGGG
rnacentral:rRNA from 1 species